AAUAAACGCUGGCGGCGUGCCUAACACAUGCAAGUCGGACGAGAAAGGCUGAUUUUCGGAUUAGCCGAGUAAAGUGGCGCACGGGUGAGUAACGCGUAGGUAACCUACCCUUGUAUUUGGGAUAACAGGACGAAAGUUUUGCUAAUACCGGAUACGACCUGAGGGCGGAGGUUUUCAGGUGAAAGUCGGCCUCUUCGAGAAAGCUGACGUACAGGGAUGGGUCUGCGUCCUAUCAGCUAGUUGGUGGGGUAACGGCCUACCAAGGCGACGACGGGUAGCUGGUCUGAGAGGAUGAUCAGCCACACUGGCACUGGAACACGGGCCAGACUCCUACGGGAGGCAGCAGUGAGGAAUUUUGCGCAAUGGCCGCAAGGCUGACGCAGCAACGCCGCGUGGGUGAAGAAGGCCUUCGGGUCGUAAAGCCCUGUCAGGUGGGAAGAAAGGUUUCGUCAAGAAACGGAUGGAAUUUGACGGUACCACCAGAGGAAGCACCGGCUAACUCCGUG
rnacentral:rRNA from 1 species